GACCCGGUGACUGAGUGGCCAAAGGUGACGGGCUGUAAACCCGUUGAUUAUACUCUACGCAGGUUCGAAUCCUGCCCGUGUC
rnacentral:tRNA from 1 species